rnacentral:rRNA from 1 species
CUCAGGAUGAACGCUAGCUACAGGCUUAACACAUGCAAGUCGAGGGGCAUCAGGAAGAAAGCUUGCUUCUUGCUGGCGACCGGCGCACGGGUGAGUAACGCGUAUCCAACCUUCCCCUUAGUAGGGCAUAGCCCGGCGAAAGUCGGAUUAAUACCCUAUGUUGUGUCAUGAGGACAUCUGAAUAACACUAAAGAUUUAUCGCUAAGGGAUGGGGAUGCGCCGAUUAGCUUGCCGGCGGGGUAACGGCCCACCGGGGCGACGAUCGGUAGGGGUUCUGAGAGGAAGGUCCCCCACACUGGUACUGAGACACGGACCAGACUCCUACGGGAGGCAGCAGUGAGGAAUAUUGGUCAAUGGGCGAGAGCCUGAACCAGCCAAGUAGCGUGCAGGAUGAACGGCCCUAUGGGUUGUAAACUGCUUUUAUGCGGGGAUAAAGUGACGUACGUGUACGUUUUUGUAGGUACCGCAUGAAUAAGGACCGGCUAAUUCCGUGCCAGCCGCUGC